rnacentral:rRNA from 1 species
CCUACGGGAGGCAGCAGUAGGGAAUAUUGCUCAAUGGGGGAAAGCCUGAAGCAGCAACGCCGCGUGGAGGAUGAAGGUUUUAGGAUUGUUAAAUCGUUUUGUUAGAGAAGAUUAUGACGGUAUGUAACGAAUAAGCCCCGUCUCACUCCGUGCAAGCAGCCGCGGUAAUACGGAGGGGGCAAGCGUUACUCGGAAUCACUGGGCGUAAAGCGUGCGUAGGUGGGGUAAAAAGUCAGUUGUGAAAUACUGUAGCUUAACUAGAGAACUGCAUUGGAAACCGGUACUCUGGAGUGUGCGAGAGGUAGGUGGAAUUCGUGGUGUAGGGGUAAAAUCCGUAGAGAUCAAGAAGAAUACUGAUUGCGAAGGCAGCCUGCUGGAACAUUACUGACGCUGAUGCACGAAAGCGUGGGGAGCGAACAGGAUUAGAUACCCCAGUAGUC